UACGUAGGGGGCAAGCGUUGUCCGGAUUUAUUGGGCGUAAAGAGCGUGUAGGCGGUUUGGUAGGUCCGUUGUGAAAACUCGAGGCUCAACCUCGAGACGCCGAUGGAAACCAUCAGACUAGAGUCCGGAAGAGGAGAGUGGAAUUCCUGGUGUAGCGGUGAAAUGCGCAGAUAUCAGGAAGAACACCCGUGGCUAAGGCGGCUCUCUGGGAAUGUCCUGACGCUGAGGAGCGAAAGUGUGGGGAGCGAACAGG
rnacentral:rRNA from 1 species